AUGAGUGGUUGGCUUCUCGACUCCGACACUCUGUAUGGACUAGCCCGGUCUUUGCCCAGAAGUUCUAGAAGGUACAAUGCUGAAAAUUCAGUAGAACAUGGUGCUCCUAUAAAUACUGAUAAUCCGGAACCUGGCAACCAUUGGCUUUUGAAGUUUGGCAGUUUGUUAAAGAGCAAAUUGAUCCAAGGUCCACAGCCAAAGCACCACUCGAGUUUCAUAUGCAGUACAAAGACGAGGCUAGAAAUUGAUCUUAAGUCUGAAGGAACGUCACUUUUGAAAGAAGAACAAGGAUUAGCAAGAGGCUGCUAA
rnacentral:rRNA from 1 species